rnacentral:tRNA from 1 species
CGAGCGUGAACAGGCGCAACAUGCCAGCCCCAUUUGCUGGGGGUCAAGUGGUCGCAGGUUCAAAUCCUGUCAGCUCGA